GUGAACGGGGUAUGGUGGUAGGUGAACGGGUAGUAGGUGAACGGGGUAUGGUGGUAGGUGAACGGGGUAUGGUGGUAGGUGAACGGGGUAUGGUAUUAGGUGAACGGGGUAUGGUAUUAGGUGAACGGGGUAUGGUAGUAGGUUAACGGGGUAGUAGGUGAACGGGGUAUGGUGGUAGGUGAACGGGGUAUGGUAGUAGGUGAACGGGGUAUGGUAGUAGGUGAACGGGGUAGUAGGUGAACGGGGUAUGGUAGUAGGUGAACGGGGUAUGGUGGUAGGUGAACGGGGUAUCGUAGUAGGUGCCAGGUGCACCGCAUUAUGUCAAGAACUGCAACGCUGCUGGGUUUUUCAUGCUCGGUAGUUUCCUGUAUGUAUCAAGAAUGGUCCACCACCCAAAGGACAUCCAGCCAACUGGACACAACUGUGGGAAGCAUUGGGGUCAACAUGGACCAGCUUCCCUGGAGUCAACAUGGACCAGCUUCCCUGGAGUCAACAUGGACCAGCUUCCCUGGAGUCAACAUGGACCAGCUUCCCUGGAGUCAACAUGGACCAGCUUCCCUGGAGUCAACAUGGACCAGCUUCCCUGGAGUCAACAUGGACCAGCAUCCCUGGAGUCAACAUGGACCAGCAUCCCUGUGGAAACGCUUCAACACCUUGUAGAGUUCGUAACUUAACAAAUUGAAGCUGUUCUGAGGGCAAAAGGGGGUGCAACUCAAUAUUAGGAAGGUGUUCUUAAUGUUUUGUCCACUCCGUGUACAUCAGCAGUAUUACAUUUAGCCUUAAU
rnacentral:lncRNA from 1 species